rnacentral:rRNA from 1 species
UACGUAGGGUGCGAGCGUUAAUCGGAAUUACUGGGCGUAAAGGGUGCGCAGGCGGCUUCGCAAGUCGAGUGUGAAAUCCCCGAGCUUAACUUGGGAAUUGCGCUCGAAACUACGGGGCUGGAGUGUGGCAGAGGAAGGUGGAAUUCCACGUGUAGCGGUGAAAUGCGUAGAGAUGUGGAGGAACACCGAUGGCGAAGGCAGCCUUCUGGGCCAACACUGACGCUCAUGCACGAAAGCGUGGGGAGCAAACAGG